rnacentral:rRNA from 1 species
UAGGGAAUCUUCCGCAAUGGGCGAAAGCCUGACGGAGCAAUGCCGCGUGAGUGAUGAAGGUUUUCGGAUCGUAAAGCUCUGUUGCCAGGGAAGAACGCUUGGGAGAGUAACUGCUCUCAAGGUGACGGUACCUGAGAAGAAAGCCCCGGCUAACUACGUGCCAGCAGCCGCGGUAAUACGUAGGGGGCAAGCGUUGUCCGGAAUUAUUGGGCGUAAAGCGCGCGCAGGCGGUCAUUUAAGUCUGGUGUUUAAUCCCGGGGCUCAACCCCGGAUCGCACUGGAAACUGGGUGACUUGAGUGCAGAAGAGGAGAGUGGAAUUCCACGUGUAGCGGUGAAAUGCGUAGAUAUGUGGAGGAACACCAGUGGCGAAGGCGACUCUCUGGGCUGUAACUGACGCUGAGGCGCGAAAGCGUGGGGAGCAAACAGGAUUAGAUACCCU